UGGUUGUGCAGGGACCUAUCCAUCUGUAAAAACAAGGAAGGGUGAAGGAAAUGGGGAGAAAAUGUGUGUGUGUGAAAACAGAAAUCCAGUAGUAUUCAAAAUGCAAAGAGAGGGACCACAGCUUAAACAUGGUAUAAAUCCAUGCCUUUUGAUCCUGAUGCAUCACCAUGUAAUCUCAGAUGCUGGAAUGAAGAGUAGGGCUGUUCAGCAGUGAAACAGAGUACUUCAUAUGGAAUUCUUAAACGGGAAGCAUUUACAGUAUGUUCUCCAAUCCAGACAUCAAAAUUUGGUACACUUGAGAACUCCAGAAUGUGCAAAAACUCUCCGGGAGACAUUUAUUUUGGAUGUAUUUUUGCAAGCCUGAAAAAAAGUUUUCUAGUUGCCCUCUUAUCCUUUUGGAAAAAGGAGUGGCAAGUGUGAUCAAUUCCACAUGCCCAAGCCUGGAGAGAUAACAGUGACAAGAAGAGGAGGAGGAAUGGUAUGAGAAGAAAAGUUUAAGAAUGCUGUCUCUGCUAUGCUCAACUUGACAUAUCAGUUGGGAUAUCAUCCAGCAGGAUUUCUCAGAAAAUGUGUCCAGGAGCUUAUGCUUUGUUUAAUCUUAUAGUCAGAAUUGUAGACAGAACACUGCUGUAUAGACUAGUCUCUAGAAAUUUUAUCUCCAAAUUAUGCCUUGAAGUAAUAUUUCAGUCUUCAACAUAAGAAUAACAGAAAUUGUCCAUUCUUCUCAUUACUCUGCUUUUGUAGACCUCUAUAGUUUUCUUAGAACUGACUGCUCUGCCAAAAAACAAAAGAAAAAGUAUAUUUAUGAACUUCUGUUCAUAGUGAUUCUAUGGUACUGUAAGUUUUUAUUUAAAAGGCUUUGUCUUGAUAGAGUCUUUGAUUUUAACAGACAUUUCAUCACCUCCAGUCUGCCAUGACAACUCCUGUCAGUUUGAUACAGCUUGAAAACUGAAAUUCCGGUGUCCCAUUGACUAUCUAAUUCCACCACAUUUUCCUAGAUGAUUAUAUAUACAUUUUCAUUUAAUAGGAGGAAUACUUGUUUACUCACUUCAGGUGCAAACCGUACUUCUUUUUCUCUGAGAAGCAUGUGAUAGCAGCUGAAAGAAGCUAAGCUGUGAGCCCUUGGCUUGAGGCGCCAAUUGUGUGCCAAUUGAGUGCUCCCCCAGACAGUGACGGGAAAGGAAAUCUCAUUCUCCCACCAGUGCCAGCUCUCGCAGGAUCACCUGCAAUCCUGGGCGACCCCCCAAGAGUGUCUGAGAGGUGGAGUCAGGCCCGGGCCAUUAAAAGGCCUUGGCCUGCUGAGUGCCAACCUCUUUCUUUGUGCACUGGCUUUCCCACCUAACCGUUCUUGAUU